rnacentral:lncRNA from 1 species
UGAUCCAGACAAAAUUCUGGAUACUGUGAUCCAGAACACACAAAAAUAAGGGUGUCGUUGGAAUUUUCAAUGCUGAAAGAUAACCAAUGGGCGACACAGUGGUGUAGAUAGGCGGCACAGUGGUGUAGUGGAAUAAAAAGUCUAAUGAUGUUAUUAACAUAGACAUGACAACAGUUAAACAUGUAAUUGAGGGCAUUAUUAAACCAUUAACUUUCAUUUGUAAUUUAUCCUUCCAAACAGGUUCAUUUCCAAAUAAAUUGAAAAUAGCCAAGGUCAUUCCUCUGUUCAAAUCUGGUAAUAAACAUCUCUUUCCUCAAUUUUCAAAAAAAUUAGAAAAACUCUUUAACAACAGAUUGGAUAUAUUUCUAGAAAAGAACAAAAUACUGGUGGAAAAUCAAUAUGGUUUCAGAUCGAAUAGAUCAACAUCCAUGGCAAUUAUUGAAGCAAUGGAAGAAAUAAAGAAUGCAAUAGAUCAGAAGAAAUAUGCAGUCGGAAUAUUUAUUGAUUUACAAAAGGCGUUUGAUACAAUCAACCAUGAUAGACUAAUUAAAAACAUUUGAAAGAUAUGGAAUUAGGGGUAUAGUGCUUGAUUGGGUCAAAAGUUAUUUAAAUGGAAGACAGCAAUUUGUGAAGUUAGAUGAUUGUUCCUCUGCAUGUGUGGACAUUAAGUGUGGUGUACCCCAGGGGUCAGUUUUGGGUCCCAAGUUCUUUAUUCUGUAUAUAAAUGAUAUGUGUGAUGUGUCCAAGUUAAUGCACUUUGUGCUAUUUGCAGAUGACACCAAUAUUUUUUGUUCAGGGGUUAACCUGAAACAACUGCAGAAUGACAUCAAUACUGAAAUGAUUAAAUUAAAGCUACGGUUCGAUAGAAACAGGUUGUCACUAAAUGUAAAAAAGACUAAAAUAAUGUUAUUUGGAAAGAGCAUGUCAAACUUGCAGAUAAAGGUUAAAAUUGAUUAUGUAGAAAUUGAAAGAGUUAAGGAAAUAAAAUUUCUGGGAGUAAUCAUAGAUGAGAAAAUAAAUUGGAAAUCACACAUCAACCACGUACACAAUAAAGUAGCAAGGAGCAUUGGGAUCAUAAGUAAAGCUAAGAAGGUAUUGGACCUGAAAUCACUACAUACACUGUACUGUUCAUUAGUCUUGCCUUACUUACAGUAUUGCAUAGAAGUUUGGGGGAAUAAUUAUAAAACAGCAAUAAGUUCAUUAACAAUACUACAAAAAAGAGUCAUACGUAUCAUAAAUAAUGCGAACUAUCAGGAUCAUACAAACCCAUUAUUCAUACAGUCAAAAUUGCUAAAACUUAAUGACAUUGUGGAUUACCAAACAGCGCAAAUAAUGUAUAAAGCUAAUAGCAUGUUAUUACCAGGUAACAUACAGAACUGUUUGGAGAGCCAGAGGGUCGUUAUUAUUCAAAGGUGAAAUCAAUUUGUAAUUUUAAAGUACUCUAUAGACGAACUACCGGUAAAAGUUUUUGCAUAUCUAAUUUGGGGGUAAGACUAUGGAGUGGGUUGAAGGUGGAGUUAAAAACAUGCUUAAAUAUAAAACAGUUCAAAUCAAGGUAUAAAGAAAUGAUCUUUAUGAGGUACAUGAAAGAAGAAGAUGAUAUUUAGCACUACAGGCGUAGGUGAAUCAUUAUUAGGUUAAUAGGUUUAUUCUCCUUGUUUAUGUCUGGUGUGUGUGUGUGUGUGUGUGUGUGUGUGUGUGUGUGUGUGUGUGUGUGUGUGUGUGUGUGUGUGUGUGUGUGUGUGUGUGUGUGUGUGUGUGUGUGAGAAUGUGUGGUGUGGGGUGGGGGGAUGCACAAGAGUGUGCGAGGGUGCGCGCAGAAAAAAUCAUGUUUACUAUGAUGGAAAAGGGGUGGGAGCAAUAAGUUAUGCUUCUUCUCACUCCUUUUUGAAUAUGCAUUUCUUUUCUAUAUUGUUUGCCUUUUAUUGUCCUAUAGUUUUAACUGCAUUAUUUGAAAUAAACGUCAAUCGAUUGAAUCAAUCGACUCUGUAUAGGUGCGUCUCAGCCCCAGGAAGAUCCCAUUACAUUUUGGUGGUGAUCCGGAUCGCCUUCUGGAUCAAGGAAGGAUUCUUUAUCAUUGUGAGAGAGGGCAAGUUUGGGAAUUUUUGCAUUUAACUCUAUGAAAAUGGCCAGAGUCAAAGGUUGAUCCUGAUCCAAACAAAAUUCCGGAUACUGUGAUCCAGAACACACAAAAAUAAGGGUGGUGUUGGAAUUUUCAAUGAUGAAAGAUAACCAAUUGGCGGCACAGUGGUGUAGAUGGGCGGCACAGUGGUGUAGUGGUUAGCACUGUCUCACAGCAAGAAGGUCCUGGGUUCGAAUCCGGGUCAGGGCAUUUCUUGUUUUAGGAACAUUAUGAACAGUGAACAUACCAGUUUAAACACAAAUAAAAGUUAAUAAAAGACACGUAACAGUAAAAGUUUUGGUGUGAAUCACAAUAUAAGGGGGGACAUGAGCUGCUUGGUGGAGGUCUGCGCCCUCCGAGUGCUUUUCUAGUGUCUUUUGUAUUUUCAUCUAUUAGCUACAUAAUUGCAUUGUGCUGUGCACAAUGGUAGAAAAUGUAAUUGCAUACAACAUACAUGAUUUUAGAACUGCCUAAAAAUGUAAGGUAGUCCUUUAGUCCUAGUGGGAAAAAAACAGUAAUUAACACGCAAAUCAUAUGUUUUCAUUUGAAAUAGCACUGCACCAUUUUUGCACCAAAGCUCUCCAAAUGAUGUCCCCCUGAGACUUUUCUGACUGAAAUUGCUGUAAAAUCAUUGCUCAUCAUUUCUAUCACAUCAAACUUGGAGGAAUUGCAGGUUAGAUCUUGUAGAGCAGACCGGUAAAUUAAUUACCUACUCACAUUGGAUUAACUUUUACUUUUGACAAUAAAAUAACUUUUUUUUCCAGACAGAGAUAAAAAUAUGGUGAUGCCAGGAAAUAUGGUUCCUGGAAUAGUCAGUAGACAAUCAUAAACAUUCAACCGUUUCACUGGUGUUAAAAAUGCAGACUAAAAAUUGAGAAAAUCUGCAAUAUCAUAGAAUCGCAGUUUAAAUCGAAUUGGCAUCCAAAAAAUCGUAGAAGAAUCAAAUCGGGAGAAAAGCAUAUCACCUCAGUGUGCACUCUCAAACACCUACAGUGAGGAGAAAAGAGUCCAGGUAAAUCGGGAAACAGUUUUCAGGAGUACAGGACCGCAGGACACAGGUGCGGGCCUGCAAGGAAACAGUUUACCAGUUUGAAGGAGCUUGGCUCUAAGUUACAAGGCUACAUUUUUUGUAUUAAAAAAGCAUAGGUUUUGAAGACAAGCUUCUGGCAUUCCUCUUGUAUUCUGAAAAUUUAAUUUUAUCAAACGAAGGAUGCAUUUUGUUGUUGGACUGUCUGAGUGUUUGUGUUAUAUAUGAUUCCCGUAGUGUUGAACUGAACUGUUGUUCAUACCUCAAAAAACAAGAAAUGACUAGAUGAGGUCUUUGUUUUCUUUUUCUGUGGUGUUUUUCUUUCUUUCUUUUCUUUCUUACUGUCAGUGGCGGUUCUAGACCAAAUUACUCCCCGGGCGAGCACCCCUCCAAGUGCCCCCCCCCCCCCCCCCACACACACACACACACACACACACACACACACACACAAAAGAGAUAGAAUUUUGAACAGAUAGUUUUGUAUUAUUAUGUAGUAUUAUUAUGAUUAUAACAACAAAAAUAAUAUAUUUCUCAAUUGCAGAAAUCCUUCAAUCCUUCCUGAGGGCCAUUUUGAGAAGGGC